rnacentral:rRNA from 1 species
AUGGAUGGCGAGUGGAGAAUGAGCUCCAAGCUUACAUUUGGCUCCAAAAAAUCCAUGAAGGGAGGGGAGAACAGUGCAAAUGAAAAUCGUCAAGGUCAUAAGGCUGAAUGUGGCUGCAAACUGACGCCUGUUGUGAGAGUGUGCAAUGAAGGAUUUGAUGCAGGACGACGUUUUCUGAGCUGUCCAUAUGAGGGGCUGAACUCCUGUGGGUAUUUGAGUUGGAUGGAUGAUGCAUGGCAGGGGAGAUCAAGGCUUGUUAUUCACAAGCUUGCAGAUGAUAACAAGAAGCUGCAAGUUAGUAUGUUUGAGAAGGAACUGGAGAUUCAGAGGUUGAAGAAAGAGAGGAAAAAAAAUAGAUGA